UGCAUUAUAUAGGUAUUAUAGGCAUAAGUUGAAGAAGAAGUACUUUGAUUCAAAGGCAACUUAUUCACUUCGUCUCCGAAACAAGCCUAAGGAUAUGGAUGUAAAAGAUUGGAAGUAUUUGGUUAAUCUUUGGACAGAAAAUGCAUUUCAGGAGAGAAGCAACAAAAAUAAGACAAAUAGAUGCAAGCGUUCUAUGCCGCCAUACACGGGGACAAAAAGCUUUGCUCGGCUGAGAGAUCAUAUG